rnacentral:misc_RNA from 1 species
UAGCGUUAUUGAACGCCCACACUUAUCGGUUGUUGGAAGAAGUCGAGAGAUCUUCAAGGAAUGGGUCUGUAGCUCAGCUGGUUAGAGCACUGUGUUGAUAACGCAGGGGUCGUUGGUUCGAGCCCAACUAGACCCACCAUUUUGAAGAUGUUUUGGCGAGGAGUUCCGAUGCGGAAUUUACCCGGGGGAUUAGCUCAGCUGGGAGAGCACCUGCUUUGCAAGCAGGGGGUCGUCGGUUCGAUCCCGUCAUCCUCCACCAGUCUGGACGUG